rnacentral:misc_RNA from 1 species
UCCUGUGGAAACAAACAAA